GACAGAGGGUGCAAACGUUGUUCGGAAUUACUGGGCGUAAAGCGCGUGUAGGCGGCUCGGCAAGUCGGGUGUGAAAGCCCUGGGCUUAACCUAGGAAGUGCACUCGAAACUGCCAAGCUUGAGUUCUGGAGGGGAAGGCGGAAUUCUCGGUGUAGAGGUGAAAUUCGUAGAUAUCGGGAGGAACACCAGUGGCGAAGGCGGCGACCUGGGCCAAGAUUGACGCUGAGGUGCGAAAGCGUGGGGAGCAAACAGG
rnacentral:rRNA from 1 species